rnacentral:ncRNA from 1 species
AAAUCUUAGUGAAAAAGAUAAACUUCCUUGUAUGCAAGCAUACUGCGUCAGUUUCCUAUUUUCAUACAGAUUU